AGAGUUUGAUCCUGGCUCAGAACGAACGCUGGCGGCGUGCUUAACACAUGCAAGUCGAACGGUGAUCCUAAGAGCUUGCUCUUGGGUGAGCAGUGGCGAACGGGUGAGUAACACGUGAGUAACCUGCCCCUGACUCUGGAAUAAGCGCUGGAAACGGCGUCUAAUACCGGAUAUGACACCAAUCCGCAUGGGUAUAGUGUGGAAAGUUUUUCGGUUGGGGAUGGACUCGCGGCCUAUCAGCUUGUUGGUGAGGUAAUGGCUCACCAAGGCGAUGACGGGUAGCCGGCCUGAGAGGGCGAUCGGCCACACUGGGACUGAGACACGGCCCAGACUCCUACGGGAGGCAGCAGUGGGGAAUAUUGCACAAUGGGCGCAAGCCUGAUGCAGCGACGCCGCGUGAGGGAUGACGGCCUUCGGGUUGUAAACCUCUUUCAGCAGGGAAGAAGCGAAAGUGACGGUACCUGCAGAAGAAGCACCGGCUAACUACGUGCCAGCAGCCGCGGUAAUACGUAGGGUGCGAGCGUUGUCCGGAAUUAUUGGGCGUAAAGAGCUUGUAGGCGGUUUGUCGCGUCUGCUGUGAAAAUCCGGGGCUCAACCCCGGACUUGCAGUGGGUACGGGCAGACUAGAGUGUGGUAGGGGAGACUGGAAUUCCUGGUGUAGCGGUGAAAUGCGCAGAUAUCAGGAGGAACACCGAUGGCGAAGGCAGGUCUCUGGGCCACUACUGACGCUGAGAAGCGAAAGCAUGGGGAGCGAACAGGAUUAGAUACCCUGGUAGUCG
rnacentral:rRNA from 1 species